GUGCUUGCUUCAGCAGCAUAUAUACUAAAAUUAGAACAAUACAGAGGCUAUUAGCAUGGCCCCUGCAUAAGGAUGACACCCAGGGGUAUGCGUGAAGUGUUCUAUGACUUA
ensembl:snRNA U6 U6 spliceosomal RNA